UGCCAAGUGGUAUGAUGUUAUAAAGAAUGAGCAUAACAAGUGUGUGAACUUGAUUCAGACGAGUACACAGAAAGCGGCAGAAAUGAGAGAGAAGAUCAAGAUCUUACAGAAUGACACAGCAGCCACUCAAAAAGACAGACAUCUAUAAAAACAGAGAUUACAACAUAUAAACAGUAUAGUAAUGAGAGAUGGUUUGAGGAAUGAGGUUGCCAAGCAGCAAAGAAUUGAGAAAGAAAUGCAUUAAAAAUGUGAACAACAAAAAAUGAACAUUUCAAAAUUGAACACUAUGAUUAAUCAGGCAGAGGAACAGAUGACAAAAUUAAGAAAUAUAUAUGAAAAAGCCAUAACACAUAGGAAUGAGAGAGGUAUUGAAAGAAAGAAAAUUGAUUGAAAGAAAUGAGGUGUGCAUUUUCUAGGAAAAAGUUU